rnacentral:rRNA from 1 species
UACAGAGGUCCCAAGCGUUGUUCGGAUUCACUGGGCGUAAAGGGUGCGUAGGCGGUCGGGUAAGUCUGAUGUGAAAUCUCACAGCUUAACUGUGAAACUGCAUUGGAUACUAUUCGGCUUGAGAGUUGGAGGGGGACUGGAAUUCUUGGUGUAGCAGUGAAAUGCGUAGAUAUCAAGAGGAACACCAGUGGCGAAGGCGAGUCCCUGGACAACUUCCGACGACUGAGGCACGAAAGCUAGGGGAGCAAACAGG